GCCUGCGUGGUGUAGUGGUCAGCACACUCGACGCGUAUUCAAGAGGUUUGUGGUUCGAGUCCCGGCGAGGGCC
rnacentral:tRNA from 1 species